CCUACGGGUGACAUCAGUAGGGAAUAUUGCUCAAUGGGGGAAACCCUGAAGCAGCAACGCCGCGUGGAGGAUGAAGGUUUUCGGAUUGUAAACUCCUUUUGUGAGAGAAGAUAAUGACGGUAUCUAACGAAUAAGCACCGUCUAACUCCGUGCCAGCAGCCGCGGUAAUACGGAGGGUGCAAGCGUUACUCGGAAUCACUGGGCGUAAAGGGCGCGUAGGCGGGAUAGCAAGUCAGAUGUGAAAGCCUAUGGCUUAACCAUAGAACUGCAGUUGAAACUGUUAUUCUAGAGUAUGGUAAGGGUAGGUGGAAUUCUUGGUGUAGGGGUGAAAUCCUGAGAGAUCAAGAGGAA
rnacentral:rRNA from 1 species